rnacentral:rRNA from 1 species
AGUGAACGCUGGCGGCGUGCUUAACACAUGCAAGUCGAACGAGAACGGGUUAUAGCUUGCUAUAAUUGUCAGCUAAGUGGCGCGGGUGAGUAAUGUAUAGGUAAUAUGCCUCUUACUAAGGGAUAACAAAUGGAAACGUUUGCUAAUACCUUAUACUCCUUAUUAACAGAAGUUAAUAAGGGAAAGAUUUAUUGGUAAGAGAUUAGCCUGUAUUGUAUCAAUUAGUUGGUGGGGUAAUGGCUUACCAAGACUAUGACACAUAACUGGUUUGAGAGGAUGAUCAGUCACACUGGAACUGAGACACGGUCCAGACUCCUACGGGAGGCAGCAGUGGGGAAUAUUGCACAAUGGACGAAAGUCUGAUGCAGCAACGCCGCGUGGAGGAUGACACACUUCGGUGCGUAAACUCCUUUUAUAUGAGAAGAUAAUGACGGCAUUAUAUGAAUAAGCACCGGCUAACUCCGUGCCAGCCGCCGCCGUAA